CUCGGAACCGAGGUUAAUACGGAUACUCCAUAUUUGUCGCAUGGCGAAUAUGGGAAAGCUCCGGCGGCAAAGGAUGGGCCCGCGGCCUGUUAGCUAGUUGGUGGGGUAGUGGCCUACCAAGGCAAUGAUGGGUAGCCGGGUUGAGAGACCGACCGGCCAGAUUGGGACUGAGACACGGCCCAGACUCCUACGGGAGGCAGCAGNU
rnacentral:rRNA from 1 species